rnacentral:rRNA from 1 species
AACGAACGCUGGCGGCAUGCCUAACACAUGCAAGUCGAACGAGAUCUUCGGGUCUAGUGGCGCACGGGUGCGUAACGCGUGGGAACCUGCCCUUUGGUUCGGAAUAACAGUUGGAAACGACUGCUAAUACCGGAUGAUGACGAAAGUCCAAAGAUUUAUCGUCAGAGGAUGAGCCCGCGUAGGAUUAGCUAGUUGGUGUGGUAAAGGCGCACCAAGGCGACGAUCCUUAGCUGGUCUGAGAGGAUGAUCAGCCACACUGGGACUGAGACACGGCCCAGACUCCUACGGGAGGCAGCAGUGGGGAAUAUUGGACAAUGGGCGAAAGCCUGAUCCAGCAAUGCCGCGUGAGUGAUGAAGGCCUUAGGGUUGUAAAGCUCUUUUACCCGGGAUGAUAAUGACAGUACCGGGAGAAUAAGCUCCGGCUAACUCCGUGCCAGCAGCCGCCGUAA